AAAACAUGUCUUUUUGAUAAAAAUUUAAAGUCAGGUCUGCUCACUGAAUUAUUUAAAGAGCCGCAGUAUAUUGACUGUGCAAAGGUAGCAUAAUCAAUAGUUUUUUAAUUGGAAACUAGAAUGAAAGAUUAGACGAAAAAUUAAUUUUCUUUGUUUUAAUAAAUUUAAUUUUAAAUUUAAGUGAAAAUGCUUAAAUAUAAUUAAAAGACGAGAAGACCCUAUAGAUUUUUAUUAUUGAAAUAAAUUUUUAAAUUUAAUUUAGUAAAAUAAUUUAAUUGGGGCGAUUUUAUAAUAUAUAUAACUUAAUUUUUUAAAACCAUAAAUAAUUGAAUAUUUGAUCUAAAAUUUUUAAAGAAAAGAUUAAAUUACCUUAGGGAUAACAGCGUAAUUUUAUUUAAGAGUUCAUAUCUAUAAUAAAGUUUGCGACCUCGAUGUUGAAUUAAGAUAAUAUAUUGGAGUAGAAAUUAAUAUAAUUAGUCUGUUCGACUAUUAAAUUCUUACGUGAUCUG
rnacentral:rRNA from 1 species